ensembl:lncRNA
UGCGCACUGCUGACACGGUCUCCGCGCACAGAAAAUCUGCGCUGCGCACAAAAAAAAAAUCCAACCUAAAUUGUAAAUAAAAUAAACAGGUUUCCCAGAGACUAUGGGUUGAGGAGGAAGUGGAAGUUUGUCGGCUUAGACCUGGUGUCAUUCCAUCAGUGUUAAACUUCCUGGCUCAUCUUUGAAGAGUAUGUGCCAGAAAGACCACGACCAAGCAGCCUUGAGAUCUUAGGCAGCAUCUCCCUGAGGUCCCUCUCUAUCUCCCCACACAUCCACCAACCACUGGAACACAUCUCCAAAGUUCUGCCGGGCCAGCUCAGCUUCCCCUCAGAAGAAGUGCCGCCACCUGCCAGAUGAAGGAGCCUUUUGAGAGGCAGCUGGCAUCGUGAUUGGACUGUACUUUGGUCUGUUCCAAUCCAGCUUCAGCUCCAGAGACGGCAGGCGGGACGAGUCAACGGAGGCCGGGUGGACGAAGGCAUGCAGCUGAGUACAAUCCAGAAAACAACAGAGGAGGAGUGCAGUGGCUCAGGGCCAGAACAACCAGAGUAGCAUCGUAUGUCUCUUAGAAAACAUCAUAGUAUAGCCUUUGGUAUGAAAAAACACCAUCAUAUACAUCAUAUAUUGUACAAAUAACAAGUCAAAGGAAAGAGACAUACAUUGUAGAAUUGUAGUAAUUGUGGG